UCUCACACUAAGGAGUCAAGAUCGAAGGACCUCAGAAGGCUCUAAAAAUGAACUCUUUCCCAGGACCAGUGAUUGUACUACUCUUAAUGUUUGGAGGAAGCCACGGAGACUCAGUGACCCAGACGGAAGGCCAAAUGCUCCUCACUGAAAGGGAUUCUCUGAUUGUGAACUGCUCCUAUGAAACCAGCCAGUACCCUUCCCUUUUCUGGUAUGUCCAAUAUCCAGGCGAAGGUCCACAGCUCCUCCUGAAAGCCAUGAAGGCCAAUGAUAAAGGAAUCAACAAAGGUUUUGAAGCCACAUAUAAUAGAGAAACCACCUCCUUCCACUUGCAGAAAGCCUCCGUCCACGAGUCAGAUUCAGCUGUGUACUACUGUGCUCUGAGUGACACAGUGACAGGAACCACAGGGGGAACUGAGCACAAACUCUGA